rnacentral:rRNA from 1 species
AGGAUGAACGCUGGCGGCAUGCCUAACACAUGCAAGUCGAACGGUCCUUUUAGGACAGUGGCGGACGGGUGAGUAACACGUUGGUACCUUCCCCGGAGUGGGGGAUAAUUCGCCGAAAGGCGGACUAAUACCCCAUGGUCUUGCACUUGUUGCAAGUAAAGAUUUAUUGCUCUGGGAUGGGCCUGCGGUUGAUUAGCUUGUUGGUGAGGUAAUGGCUCACCAAGGCGACGAUCAAUAGCUGGAUCGAGAGGUUGACCAGCCACACUGGGACUGAGAUACGGCCCAGACUCCUACGGGAGGCAGCAGUGAGGAAUUUUCCGCAAUGGGCGAAAGCCUGACGGAGCAAUGCCGCGUGAAGGAAGAAGCCUUUCGGGGUGUAAACUUCUUUAUCAGGGAAGAAGACAUGACGGUACCUGAUGAAUAAGCAUCGGCUAACUACGUGCCAGCAGCCGC